rnacentral:rRNA from 1 species
UUAUUGAACGCUGGCGGCAGGCCUAACACAUGCAAGUCGAGCGGUAGCACAGAGAGCUUGCUCUCGGGUGACGAGCGGCGGACGGGUGAGUAAUGUCUGGGAAACUGCCUGAUGGAGGGGGAUAACUACUGGAAACGGUAGCUAAUACCGCAUAAUGUCGCAAGACCAAAGUGGGGGACCUUCGGGCCUCAUGCCAUCAGAUGUGCCCAGAUGGGAUUAGCUAGUAGGUGGGGUAACGGCUCACCUAGGCGACGAUCCCUAGCUGGUCUGAGAGGAUGACCAGCCACACUGGAACUGAGACACGGUCCAGACUCCUACGGGAGGCAGCAGUGGGGAAUAUUGCACAAUGGGCGCAAGCCUGAUGCAGCCAUGCCGCGUGUGUGAAGAAGGCCUUCGGGUUGUAAAGCACUUUCAGCGGGGAGGAAGGCGUUAAGGUUAAUAACCUUGGCGAUUGACGUUACCCGCAGAAGAAGCACCGGCUAACUCCGUGCCAGCAGCCGCGGUAAUACGGAGGGUGCAAGCGUUAAUCGGAAUUACUGGGCGUAAAGCGCACGCAGGCGGUCUGUCAAGUCGGAUGUGAAAUCCCCGGGCUCAACCUGGGAACUGCAUUCGAAACUGGCAGGCUAGAGUCUUGUAGAGGGGGGUAGAAUUCCAGGUGUAGCGGUGAAAUGCGUAGAGAUCUGGAGGAAUACCGGUGGCGAAGGCGGCCCCCUGGACAAAGACUGACGCUCAGGUGCGAAAGCGUGGGGAGCAAACAGGAUUAGAUACCCUGGUAGUCCACGCCGUAAACGAUGUCGAUUUGGAGGUUGUGCCCUUGAGGCGUGGCUUCCGGAGCUAACGCGUUAAAUCGACCGCCUGGGGAGUACGGCCGCAAGGUUAAAACUCAAAUGAAUUGACGGGGGCCCGCACAAGCGGUGGAGCAUGUGGUUUAAUUCGAUGCAACGCGAAGAACCUUACCUGGUCUUGACAUCCACAGAACUUAGCAGAGAUGCUUUGGUGCCUUCGGGAACUGUGAGACAGGUGCUGCAUGGCUGUCGUCAGCUCGUGUUGUGAAAUGUUGGGUUAAGUCCCGCAACGAGCGCAACCCUUAUCCUUUGUUGCCAGCGGUUAGGCCGGGAACUCAAAGGAGACUGCCAGUGAUAAACUGGAGGAAGGUGGGGAUGACGUCAAGUCAUCAUGGCCCUUACGACCAGGGCUACACACGUGCUACAAUGGCAUAUACAAAGAGAAGCGACCUCGCGAGAGCAAGCGGACCUCAUAAAGUAUGUCGUAGUCCGGAUUGGAGUCUGCAACUCGACUCCAUGAAGUCGGAAUCGCUAGUAAUCGUAGAUCAGAAUGCUACGGUGAAUACGUUCCCGGGCCUUGUACACACCGCCCGUCACACCAUGGGAGUGGGUUGCAAAAGAAGUAGGUAGCUUAACCUUCGGGAGGGCGCUUACCACUUUGUGAUUCA